CCUACGGGAGGCAGCAGUGGGGAAUAUUGCACAAUGGGGGAAACCCUGAUGCAGCGACGCCGCGUGAGUGAAGAAGUAAUUCGUUAUGUAAAGCUCUAUCAGCAGGGAAGAAAAUGACGGUACCUGAGUAAGAAGCCCCGGCUAACUACGUGCCAGCAGCCGCGGUAAUACGUAGGGGGCAGGCGUUAUCCGGAUUUACUGGGUGUAACGGGAGCGUAGACGGCAGUGCAAGUCUGGAGUGAAAGGCGGGGGCUCAACCCCCGGACUGCUCUGGAAACUGUACGGCUGGAGUGCAGGAGAGGUAAGUGGAAUUCCUAGUGUAGCGGUGAAAUGCGUAGAUAUUAGGAGGAACACCAGUGGCGAUGGCGGCUUACUGGACUGUAACUGACGUUGAGGCUCGAAAGCGUGGGGAGCAAACAGGAUUAGAUACCCGGGUAGUC
rnacentral:rRNA from 1 species